GUGGGGAAUAUUGGACAAUGGGCGAAAGCCUGAUCCAGCCAUGCCGCGUGUGUGAAGAAGGUCUUCGGAUUGUAAAGCACUUUAAGUUGGGAGGAAGGGCAGUAAGUUAAUACCUUGCUGUUUUGACGUUACCAACAGAAUAAGCACCGGCUAACUUCGUGCCAGCAGCCGCGGUAAUACGAAGGGUGCAAGCGUUAAUCGGAAUUACUGGGCGUAAAGCGCGCGUAGGUGGUUCAGCAAGUUGAAGGUGAAAUCCCCGGGCUCAACCUGGGAACUGCCUCCAAAACUACUGAGCUAGAGUACGGUAGAGGGUAGUGGAAUUUCCUGUGUAGCGGUGAAAUGCGUAGAUAUAGGAAGGAACACCAGUGGCGAAGGCGACUACCUGGACUGAUACUGACACUGAGGUACGAAAGCGUGGGGAGCAAACAGGAUUAGAAAACCGGGUAGUCC
rnacentral:rRNA from 1 species